GUGGCUUACGCCUAUAAUCCCAGCACUUUGGGAGGCUGAGGUGGGUGGAUCAUCUGAGAUCAGGAGUUCCAGACCAGCCUAGCCAACAUGGAGAAACCCUGUCUCUACCAAAAAUACAAAAUUAGCCGGGCAUGGUGGUGCAUGCCUGUAAUCCCAGCUACUCAGGAAGGCUGAGGCAAGUGAAUCACUUUGAACCUGGGAAGCGGAGGUUGCAGUGAGCCGAGAUCACACCAUUACACUGCUGCCUGGGCAAUAAGAGCAAAACUCGGUCUCAAAAAAAAUAUAUAUAUAUAUGUGUGUGUGUGUGUGUGUGUGUGUGUGCUUUCAUAUUUGAUAUUUGUAACUUUAUGGAGAAAAUAUUUUAUUAUGUAAUGCUGACAUUAAACAAAAUUAUAGGCAAUGUUAGAGAAAUCAAAUAUUUAUAUUUUUAUAAAAAUAAUGAAUAGAAGAGUGACAUAUAACCAUCAGAGUACUUUAUUCUCAAAUUCACAAAAUGAUAAACCAGAAGAUUAAAGGUAGAAGAGAUUAGUGGUUAUUGGUAUAUUUAACAGAAUUCAGAUUAAAAGGCUUGCAUUUGUAUGAGAAUUAUUGUUUCUCAAGAUUUCGGAAUUCUAUUUAUGUAACCAAAACAAUUAGAAUAAUUCAGAUACUGCCUGUGUAAGUUUAUGGCCACGGUUUCCCUCAAUUUCCCUCUAAACUGGAUAUGUGGGUUUUUUUGUUUGUUUGUUUUUGUUUUUGUUUUUUUUGAGACAGAGUCUCGCUCUGCCCCCAGGCUGGAGUGCAGUGGCCGGAUCUCAGCUCACUGCAAGCUCCACCUCCUGAGUUCACGUCAUUCUCCUGCCUCAGCCUCCGGAGUAGCCGGGACUACAGGCGCCCGCCACCUGGCCCGGCUAAUUUUUUUGUAUUUUUAGUAGAGACGGGGUUUCACCGUGUUAGCCAGGAUGGUUUCCAUCUCCAGACCUCGUGAUCCGCCCGUCUCGGCCUCCCAAAGUGCUGGGAUUACAGGCUUGAGCCACCGCGCCCGGCCUGGAUAUGUAGUUUUGCUCUUCACCUGCUUCCCCGGAGUCUCCAACUAUAACUCAGAUGAGAAAAUCAGCACAGAAAAAGGUAAUGUAGAUGACUUCUCUCUUUGUCUCGGGAGAGAAUCUCAGGGAGUGCUUGGAUACAUCCGGAGAGAGCCCUGCAGCUGCAGCUCCUGACAUGGGUCCUGGAAAUGGCUAGAAUCUGUCCUGAACUCUUGGCAUCUUCUGAUACUCAACAAUAGAGAAUGGCGUGAAUAUCAUCCGGCUGCCCUACACAAUAUUGUCUAGACUAUGGGUAGCUAAACAAUCUACUUGCAAUUAAUAGUAAAAAAAAUAAAAACUAGGUUCUGAUUAAGUAUUCUGCUGUA
rnacentral:lncRNA from 1 species